GAUGAUUCAAGUUAGCCUGGGGUACCCUCUCUGUUUUCCACUCCCAAACUGGGAUUAAUUUAGGAAUCUUCCAUAAAUGUAGACACUGGGGGCUUUCCAAUCUUAGCCUGGGCAAGUACUACUCCAAGACAGAUCAGAACAAGAUGGCCUUGCUUUGUAAGAGUGGGAAAGGAAGACAGGAAAUAAGGACUCCUGGAGAUGGUUUAGUUUACAUGUCAGCCUUGUUGCUGUAACAUAGAAUUAGAGAUAUGGAAUUUUUCUCAGAAGCUAAAAGCAAUACAACGAUGAAGAGAACAUCCUAGAAGGCCAUGAUCCACCUGCUGAAUGAACCAGCUACCCUGAAGGUACUAUGAUUCAUGUAGGAAGAAGAGAAAGGAAGAGAAAAAAAUGUGCCUGAGAGGCACAAAGGACCAGGUGAGAACGCUGGAGUUCAGACCGGCUGGAGACUGUGCUAAAGUCAGGGUCUGGUUCCAAACCCUGCCUCCUGAGCCCGGACUUGAUUCCUCAGCCCCACUCUGCUUCCUGCACCUCUAUCUGGAUUAGGACACUCAAUGACAUCCUCCUACCACAGGCUGAUAGCUACAGGAGACACGCGUUCGAUCCCUGGUCCAGGAGGAUCCCACCUGCUGCGGAGCAACAAAGCCCCAACUAUCAAGCCUGUGCUCUAGAGCCCGGGAACCACAACACCGAGACCACCUGCUGCAACUACUGAAACCCACACACGCUAGAACCCUGCUCCGACACAAGAGAAGCCACUGCAGUGAGAAGCCUGUGCACUGCAACGAAGAGUGGGCCCUGCUCGCCACAACUAGAGAAAAGCCCUCGCAGCGACCAAGACCCAGCACAGACAGAAAUAAACAAAAUCAUAAAAAAGUUAAAUGACUGGAGUUAGAGAAAGUACAUUAGACCUGAUUCAAGACUUUUCCUAUUGUAAUGCCAUAUCUAUCUUGACACCUGGUAUUGUUGCUCAGAUAUGUUUUCUUGACUAGGACAGAGAAAGUGGCAAUGUCUGUGGGAGUGUGUUGUACAUGGGAAUGUCUUCCAUCUCACAGAGCGCUGCUAAACUAGCUGCUGACAGCCUCUCAGGAAUUCCUUUGUAUGUGAGGAGGUUUUUGUUUUCCCUCUCUCUUGCUGCUCCACAUGGUACCUUCCCCUCCAUAGUUUCAACCUUCCUUCUUGCUGCCAACAGACUACUCACUCACCACUCCCUUUCUUUGCCAUAAGCAGAUUGUAUUUAGUCAACCUUGUACUCUAAGCACUGGCUUCCCUGGUGGCGCAGUGAUAAAGAAUCCACCUGCCAACGCAGGAGACACAGGUUCAGUCCCUGGAUGGAGAAGAUCCCCUGCAGGAGGAAAUGGCAACCCACUCCAGUAUUUUUGCCUGGGAAAUCCCAUAGACAAGAGGAGCCUGGUGGGCUGCCGUACAUGGGGUCACAGAGAGUUGGACACGAGUUAGUGACUGAGCACAAAUGCAUGUACUCUAACCACUCUAAGAAAGAAUUAACAAAGAUGUAAAAUGUAAUGGGUAUCCUAACUAGCUCGUUAAUCUGGGUUAUCUCUGCCUUUGACUAAGGUAUUUUGCAACUCUGAGAGAUAGAAGUUGUAAAAAACUGAUAGUAAUGCAAAUAGUUCUUGAUUAUAAAUAGAUAAAUUCUGUUGAGGGAAGGUUCAAUGGAUUUCCCUCCUCCACUGUGGAAGAAGCUGCUUUGCAUCUAUUAAGCUAAUUCAUUUCAACUCCCUGCUGAGUUUAUAUAUUGUUUCCUUCAUUCACUAAUGUGUUAAGUAAAAUCUUUGACUUGUGUUC